rnacentral:rRNA from 2 species
CGGGUCAAAAAAUAACGCCGUCCGAUCCCUAAUCGGCAUAGUUUAUGGUUAAGACUACGACGGUAUCUGAUCGUCUUCGAUCCCCUAACUUUCGUUCCUGAUUAAUGAAAACAUCCUUGGCAAAUGCUUUCGCAGUAGUUAGUCUUCAAUAAAUCCAAGAAUUUCACCUCUGACAAUUGAAUACUGAUGCCCCCGACUGUCCCUAUUAAUCAUUACGGCGGUCCUAGAAACCAACAAAAUAGAACCACACGUCCUAUUCUAUUAUUCCAUGCUAAUGUAUUCGAGCAUAGGCCUUCUUUAAGCGAUCUAAUUUGUUCAGAGUAAAAGUCCUGGUUCCCCGGCACACCCAGUGAAGGGCAUGCGGUUCUCCAGAAGGAAAGACCCAGCCGAGCCAGUGCACGCGGUGAGGCGGACCGGCCGGCUAGGCCCAAGGUUCAACUACGAGCUUUUUAACCUCAACAACUUUAAUAUACGCUAUUGGAGCUGGAAUUACCGCGGCUGCUGGCACCAGACUUGCCCUCCAAUUGUUCCUCGUUAAGGGAUUUAAAUUGUACUCAUUCCAAUUACAAGACCCGAAAGAGCCCUGUAUCAGUAUUUAUUGUCACUACCUCCCCGUGUCGGGAUUGGGUAAUUUGCGCGCCUGCUGCCUUCCUUGGAUGUAGUAGCCGUUUCUCAGGCUCCUUCUC